rnacentral:tRNA from 1 species
GGAGGUGUGUGGGUGCCUGGUGGCCCCCCCGGUCUUCAAAACCGGUGAGGCCGAGCAUCUCGGUCUGGCGGGUUCGAUUCCCGUCCGCCUCCGCCA